rnacentral:rRNA from 1 species
AUACGUAGGGAGCAAGCGUUGUCCGGAAUUACUGGGCGUAAAGGGUGCGUAGGCGGCGCAGUUAGUCAGAAGUGAAAUAUCGGGGCUUAACCUCGGGACUGCUUCUGAUACUGCUGUGCUUGAGUGCAGGAGAGGUAAGUGGAAUUCCUAGUGUAGCGGUGGAAUGCGUAGAUAUUAGGAGGAACACCAGUGGCGAAGGCGACUUACUGGACUGUAACUGACGCUGAGGCACGAAAGCGUGGGUAGC